GGUCCUUUAACUCAGUCGGUUAGAGUGCGGUGCUAAUAUGAUUUGUUACGCCGAAGUCACAGGUUCGACCCCUGUAAGGACCA